UUUUAUAUUUUUGUGCAUGUGCCACCAGUCCACCUUCCACUAGUUGUUUCAGCGAAGCAUUAAGGCUAAUUUGCUGUCUGUCGGAGAGACAGAACAGAGGAGAGGGAAGUAGAUGACUGAAAAACAUAAGUCAUUCACUGACUUCUCCCUGCUGCUGCACCUUCUUUUUCUUCCUCCCCUCCCCCUUAGCCCUUUCUCCCUCCCCUUUUCCUUCACUUCCCUCCCACUUUUCUCUCUCACUCCAAAGAGCUCUCAGUCUCUGCGCUCCCCUUCAUUUACCGCUUCAACAUGUUGGCAGGAGGAGAAAGAGGAGGAUGCUGCGCUCUACCCUCGGUGCGUUUUUGCCACCCCUCCGGCCAGCGCACGCUGCCUCUGACUCAGACUCAGCUUUCAGUUGUCUCCGUCUGAAGGACUUCAGAGAGGAGGUGGAAGAGGAACCGAAGGAUACACAGGAGAUCAGGAGCUCUCACGCCAGGGUCCCCAACAGGAACAACAACAGCAGGAGAGUGGAACAGAGCAACUGCUCUUCAUCUGUGGUGGAAACUACUAAUACCUCAACAGUGACCACCUGCUCUGCCUCCUCGAGUUUCUCUCCCUCCUCUUCUUCCUUCUCGGCUCCCAGAUCCAUGUGGCAAGAGGCAAUAAGGAGGAAGCGGUAUCUCCUGAACCAGGCAGGGGAGUCUAGUGAAGGGGAUAAAGGAGGAGGAGGUCAGGAGAAGAGGAACAGAUCCCCAGAUUGGCUGUAUGAGUCCUACUACUGUAUGAGCCAGCAGCAUCCUUUGAUUGUGUUUCUGCUGCUCAUAGUGAUGGGAGCAUGUCUGGCUCUGCUGACUGUGUUCUUUGCUUCAGGACUGAACAUUGAGGACCAUGCGGCCUUUGUAAUCACUGUGCCCACAGCGCUGGCUAUCUUCCUGGCUGUGUUUGUACUCGUCUGCAUUGAGUCAGUCUUCAAGAAGCUUCUACGUGUAUUCUCCCUGGUCAUCUGGGCCUGCUUGGUUGCCAUGGGAUACCUUUUUAUGUUUUCCGGUGGGAUCAUCUGUCCUUGGGAUCAGGUGUCCUUCUUCCUGUUCAUUGUGUUUGUGGUUUACACCAUGCUGCCGUUCUCUAUGCGGGAUGCCAUCAUCGCCAGUGUCCUGACCUCUGCCUCUCACACCAUUGUGUUGAGUGUCUGCCUGUCUACCACGGCAGAUAACAUGGAACCGGUAGUGUGGCAGAUUUUGGCCAAUAUUAUCAUUUUCAUGUGUGGCAACAUGGCAGGAGCCUACCACAAGCACCUAAUGGAGCUGGCACUUAAACAGACCUAUCAGGACACCUGCAACUGCAUCAAGUCCCCAAUUAAACUGGAAUUUGAGAAGAGACAACAGGAGCGUCUCCUGCUGUCCCUGUUACCAGCUCACAUUGCCCGGGUGAUGAAAGCAGAGAUCAUCCAGAGACUGAAGGGUCCAAAUUUUGGCCAGAUUGAGAACACAAACAAUUUUCACAACCUCUAUGUCCAGAGACACACUAAUGUCAGUAUACUGUAUGCUGACAUUGUGGGAUUCACACGGCUGGCCAGUGACUGCUCACCUGGUGAGCUGGUACACAUGCUGAAUGAGUUGUUUGGCAAAUUUGAUCAGAUUGCCAAGGAAAAUGAAUGUAUGCGGAUCAAAAUCCUUGGCGACUGUUACUACUGUGUGUCUGGCCUGCCAGAAUCUCUGCCCAACCAUGCUAAGAACUGUGUGAAAAUGGGUCUGGACAUGUGUGAGGCAAUCAAGAAAGUGAGAGAUGCCACGGGGGUUGACAUCAACAUGCGUGUUGGCGUGCAUUCUGGGAAUGUCCUGUGUGGUGUGAUUGGACUCCAGAAAUGGCAGUAUGAUGUUUGGUCACAUGAUGUCACACUGGCCAAUCAUAUGGAGGCAGGAGGUGUACCAGGGCGAGUCCACAUAACUUCAGUGACACUGGAGCACUUGAAUGGUGCUUAUAAGGUGGAAGAUGGGGAUGGACAAGAAAGAGACCCCUACCUGAAAGAACAUGGAGUCAUCACUUAUUUGGUCAUCAAUCCAAAGGUGGAGCGUCGGAGCCCACAGCAUCAUUACCGUCCCAGACACACUCUAGACGGAGCAAAGAUGAGAGCCUCAGUCAGGAUGACCCGCUACCUAGAGUCCUGGGGAGCAGCCAAACCUUUUGCCAACCUGCACCACAGAGACAGCAUGACUAAUGAGAAUGGGAAGAUCAACACUGCUGAUGUGCCGAUGGGGCAGUAUCACUUCCAGAGGAGAUCAGAAAGGACAAAGUCUCAGAAGAAACGGUUUGAGGAGGAACUUAACGAGAGGAUGAUCAGGACAUUUGAUGGGAUAAAUUCCCAAAAGCAGUGGCUCAAGUCUGAGGAUAUUCAAAGGAUAUCGUUGUUCUUUCACAACAAAUCCUUGGAGAAGGAGUACAGAGCAACAACUUUGCCAGCCUUCAAAUACUAUGUGACCUGCGCCUGUUUGAUAUUUUUCUGCAUUUUUGUUGUGCAGAUUCUUGUCCUUCCAAAGACAGCUGUCUUGGGAAUAUCCUUUGGAAUGGCUUUUCUUAUCCUCUCUAUGAUCCUCUUCAUAUGUUUCGUAGGACACUUCCUGCACUGCAGUAAAAGCACCUCCACUUCUUGGAUGUGGCUGUUGAGGUCAUCAGUCAUUAUUGCCAACAAGCCAUGGCCUCGCAUCACUCUCACCAUGACAACCACAGCUCUAAUCCUCAUAAUGGCAGUCUUCAACAUGUUCUUUUUGGAAGACAAUUUGUUGCCGCCUGUUCCUGUUUACAAUUCCUCCAAUGAAACACUAUUUUACCAUCAUGGACAACUAAUUGGCUUCACAGGCAAAAACAAUUUCUACCUUCCUUAUUUAAUUUACAGUUGCAUACUAGGCCUCAUCUCUUGCUCGGUGUUCCUGAGGAUAAACUAUGAGCUGAAGAUGAUUAUCAUGUUGACAGCUGUGGUGGUUUACAACAUCAUUAUUCUACAAACACAUGCCUCUCUGCUGGAUGAAUAUAGCAGAUUUCUGUACAAGACUGAAAGCCUGGACAGACCAGGUGUUCUGAAAGACCUAAAGAGUAUGGGCUCUAUCUCCCUCUUUAUCUUCUUCAUCACUCUGCUUGUGCUUGCCAGACAGGUAAGACCACACAAAGAAAGUCUGAAUGACGUUAUCGACUGUCUUAUGCCUUGCUUUUACAUCAACAUCACCAUCGCUCCUCUCUGUGUUCUGUUUUUUUCUCCCAUAUUCUCUCAGUUUGGACUGGCUAUACUCCCAUGUGCUAUGGUCUUUGUCGCAGCUAGGCUGUUGGCCUGUGAGAGGUGUAGACUCCAUUGUGGGAAGCUCAUGUUCUCGCAUCCCAUGGUCUCUUUAACCCUUAGUGAUCUCCUACGCAUGAACACACUUGAGUUUAGUACACUGCCAGGUUGUGCUAGAGACGUUGCAGCUGCAUUGCACAUGGGUCAAUGGGAUCAUUACCGAGUAUUUUUCUUCUAUGUCAACUGAGCUGCUUAAGAUGUUUAAUGUAAAGGUAGAAAAAAAUUGGACUCCUGACACAACUGUUUCUAUCUCUUUCUAUAUGUACACCUUUAUUACCUCAGAGCUUGAGGGUAAAUAGCUGCUCCCAUCCAUUUUCUAGAUGGAAAUCAACUGCUGUGCCACACUGUGCAAAAGAGGCAUCAUGAGACCAGUUUGUCUGGCCUCCCUUCAGCCACUCUGGCUAAUGAUUUAUUGCUAGCUUAUCAUUAAAUAGGAUGCAGCUGAUCCCCUGGGCCCUCCUGUCUACUGAAAUAACAGCAUGGCUGCUACACCCUUUUCCCCCUGUGGCGACUGAACUGAAUCCACAAAAAGCAUGCUAACCACAUCAGUGAAUAUUCAGGUGUGAGCACAAGCACCACCUUUUACUACAUGCAUCGUGUGCCACUGCUAAACUGGUAUUAAAUGGACAUUUCAUGUGUGGUGACAUUGCAGAGACUUGGUUGGCAUCACAGUACAUGGAACGUAUGUACUCUGCGCAUCAUUUAGUGAUAGAUGUAUAAAGGGUUGUUUUCCACAGCUGCUGACAUUCCCACUGUGAACUUGAGGCCUACUGUCACAAGAAAAUGUAGGAAUAUGCUUCCUGUGUGUUGUAAGUACUGCUGGAUUUUGGUAGUGCCGCAAAUCUAGACAUGAAUAUUAAGCACUUUGAGUUUGAGUGGAUAAUAAAUGUGUUUGCAGAAGACAAAUUACUGAUGUCCCCAGCUCAGCGAAAAGGCACCAGGUGUAACCUUCUGCACAGUCUGUAAUAACAGAUGCCAUUUAUUAAGUCGCACACACACGGCUCUGGUGUGUAUCCACACACACACUUUGUUUUUGUACUGCUUUUUCUCUUUCUCUGUUACAAGUAAUUAUAUUUCUAAUAUCAAAUCAUAUCACUUUUUUUUUUUUUUUUUUUUUUGUCCAUCAGAUCAUCUCACAAACAUGUUUCUCCUUGGUUGAUGCAUCCUCUUUAUCAAAUCUGGUCAUCGUGUGCUGCUCAGGAACAGGCUAAAAUAGACUCAUCAUCAUAAAGCACCUGAGCACUUCACACAAUAUGGAAGAAAAUGAACUGUCACAUGCUCGUAAUGUUCUCACUAAAGAAAGUCAUUCCCCUGCUGUCCUGGAACAUUUUACCCAGCCUUGCCUUAAGUCUUGUUAAUGCAGUUCUAGGAAGGUAAUCUUGUUUGAAGUUAACCAAAGCCACAUCAAUCUGUAUUUCUGCCUUUUGCGAUGAAAGUUAUCAGUUUCUUGCAAAAGUGACCAAAUUGUGACUCGUUCUAUUUCAGCGUUACAUUUUCUUUUAGCCUCAGUGGAAUCGACACUAAUUGAUGUUUCUGUUUUAUCUCUGUGACUUGAUGGAAGCAACCUGUACGGCUGUACCUUCAGACUCUUCACCUCUGUGUCCUCUUGUAACAGAAUGAAUAUUACUGUAGGUUAGACUUUCUGUGGAAGAACAAGUUCAAGAAGGAGUGUGAGGAAAUU